UUAAAAAAAUGGCCCGAUUUUCAUUGAAAAGUCCCGGAUUUCAGGUAUUUUUUUCAGCCUUGUCCCGAGUUUAACUGAACUGGAGUUGGUCACACUAAUUAUGUACAUUAUAUUUAUGUAUAUAAGAGUGGCAACGUCGGAUUGCAUGAUUUGAGUUUCCACUAGACUUGUGUUAUGGAGGGAUUUUACGGGCUGUGAUUGGUCGUAUUCAAAUCAAUGACAUAUUUGACAUUAUUUGAUGACAUUUAAAAGAAAUACGUAACCCUGUUUUCUCGUUUGUUUUUGUUUAUGCAGUGUGUUUAUGUUAUACAAAAGAAAAAUAUUGAUAUUUUAGUUAUUAAUCUUGGAUUUUGAGACUAUUUUAUACGUUUAUACUUGUUUAUUGUAUUCAUUUUUAAACAGCCAUAUUAUUUCCAGCAAAAGUUAUGGAACGUUUACAGAUACAUAGUAAUAUUUAUAUAAAAAAACAAAUUACUUUCUGCUUGCUUCCUAUAUUUUGUAAAUUUUUAAAGCUUCCUCCCAGACUCAUUUGAGUAUAAGGUGGUUAAUUUUUCCGAAAUAAAUGGAAGGGAUGGCGCAUUUAAUGCAGUGAUUUGAAUAGAAAGAAUAUGAAAAUAUUAAUAAAGUAAAUUUUAGAGUUCUAAGAACUUAUCCAAAUGAUUAUAUGAAGCUUGUUUUCAAGAAAGACUAUCGAUGCCAUCGCAAUACUCAGGCUAAUUUGCCUUCAUCAAAGACAAAAAAUCCGUCAUCUAAACAUGUUAACUGUCAGGCAUUCUUAAGAAUUACAGUGAAACAAUCAAGUAUGAAAAGGUAAAGUCUAUUUGCUAAUCUGAGACACAACUACUGUCUAGUGACGUUGGUAAUUUUUUUUGAGAAGUUGGUUGCUAGACGUAACUGGAAAAGACUACACAACCAAACAUAACUACUCAUAGCCAAUAUUAUUAUUAACAGUAAACAGGCAUAAAUAACAUAACAUACACCAAUCAAUAAUUAUUUAUUUACACCUUUAUAAUGUAUUGAUAACAGAUGAGAGAAGUAUUUAUUGUACAAAAUAAAAAUAUUUUAUAGAAAUAAAUUCCCCAAAAUUUUA